CGGCCGGGCGCGGCGUCACGUGGCGCCAUCGCCGCGUUCUGCUCCAGAGCGCGCGGGGUUCCGCUGCCGAGCGCUGAGGGAAGGGGCGUUCUGUGCCCUCCCCCCGGCUGCAACCACCCGGCGCUGCGGCGCAGGGGGCUGCGCCGUCACCUGACCGCCGGGCGCACCGCCCCCAUAAGUAAGGGGGGGAAUGGUAGUGUCUGGUAUAUGACACCGCAGCCCCCUCCCCUGCUGUCUCCUGCGAGCUCCGCGCUGCUGCAGCGGCGCAGGAGGAGGCGCCGCCGCCGGGUGCUCAGCGGCUUCUUCCUACAGAUCUCCAAUAGAGUCGACACUGCUACUGUUCCCUGUAUUGAAGUCAAUGCAACAUAUGCAUUUGCUGGUGAGAUGGUGGAGCUGGUUUCUUUUGUUGUUGUUGCGAAAAAAGGUUCUCUAUCAAAUCAUCAACUUGGCGUACAAGACAUUCAUUGAGUUUUAAAAACAAAUGACACUGCAGUGUAGGAAUCAGCAUGAUUUUGGUACUAAGUUGACGUGGCAUUCCUAUGUUCUAGCAGCUGGCUCAGUGCUUCCCUGAGCAUCAGAAAGAGCUCUCUGCUUCUCAGCUUUCAAGUGGCUUUAUUUGAUUGUCUUUGCUUGUAACAGUGAGGAGCACAGACAGACCAUAUGAGCAUCUUGGAAAGAUCAUCCUGUUGAAGAUGUAGUGUGGAGACCCAGCUGUGUCAGUCUGGAUGGUACAGUGCUGCAGCUGGUGUUGUGAAUCAGGCCGUCACCGAUCAGAGAACGGCUACUUCACAACACCAGGGUUGCACCCUACCACAGUCAACUGGGAACCUGGAGAAAAGAAGAUUUUCGAUGCACAGGCAGCAGCAAAUGUAUCCUUAGUUGCUACCCCGAGGCCCAGAUCCAGAAAGGUAUUCAGACACCUGACUCCCAUUGAAAUCAGUGGGAUUUAGGUACCUAAUAGGGGAUAGGCACCGAAGUACAUUUUUUUGGACCUGGCCAUAAGUCCCUAAAGCCUGUCUUGCAGUGUAGGGUCUUUGUUCAGCAAGCAUGUAAGAGUUACUGUAAGAUGCACUGCCAAUAAAUUGUUAUUUUAAUGUUAAGAUAUAGGUAGUUCUUAUUAAACCAUUCAAAACAUGAGGAUAAAUACCCCCAGUCCUGUUGUUCAGUAUAAACUGUGGUAAUUGUGGUCCUUGCUUAUGAAUUAUCCCUAAUUAUAGGCACAGUUCCAUCUAGUUAUCUAACCAACUGUUCUCUGUAAUUUUACUGUAUUUACUGUGAAAGAAAUCAAACUUUUUGGACAAUGAUAAAGCAAUUUAAGGCACGAUGCGAAUGAAUAAAAGCAGUACCAUUUAAUAACAAGAUCAUUGUCUAAUGCAAGUACCAUGCGGGGCUGACUGUUGUAGUCAAAAUAGAGAAAAACUUUUGAAUUUCAAAAAAACAAGUUCAUAAGUGAAUAAAUAGCAUACACAAUAAUCAAGCUAAUCUGUGAGUUGCCUUGUCACUAGAGAGCAAUGUAUUUGAAGUCAUGGGACAGGUUAUAACUGAGGCACAUAUUUUUCCUCUUACUAUAAAUUUAAAUGCUGUUUCUUUAAUCAGUUUGGAGCUCUAUUGUCAACCAAUCUCUCAGACUCAAAAGGGAAUUUUUAUUGGUGAUGGGUUUUUUCCUCUAUCCUCAGUAAGACUGGCCUCAAAUCCUCCUAUACUAAAGAAGCUUUUGACUUUUGGACAUAAAAUGUUAAAGAAUAAAUUUGGUCAAUUUAAAAUUUAGAAGAAAAAGCAGGAUUCUCAAAGUAUUCUAAGCCCAGCUCCCCAUUGUUUAUACAUGGUAAUACACAAAAUUGCCCAGAUUCUCUGCUGGUUCCAAUGAAGUCAGUGGAACUUGGUUUACAAAACUGGAGGCCUGGCUUUUACAUGCUCCUUUGAGUGUCCUCUGUAAGGAAAAAAACAAGGGUUUUUUUUUGCCUGUUUGUUUCUUUUUGAAUGAUGAAAAAUCCUGAAAGGUUUCUCUCAAAAAUAUUGAGAGUAAGAAGAGUGGGGCUUGCCUUUUUUCUUUGCAUUAAACAUUCAGGCUUUCCCCAUCCUGGGAAACACUUGUGACUUCAGUGCUAUUGAAAUUAGUCUUAAUUACUCAGCCUGUUAUGAUUUCCUAUCUAAAGUGCAUGUCAUUUGUUGUUCAUGCCUGUUUAGCUCUAAUGCCUAAAGAAUACACGUUAAGAUAGGUGUUUUUUAAAAAGUGUGGACAGUACUCCUGUCUUUUUCUUGCAAGGUGUAAGAACUCCAAAGAGUUCAUUAGGAACUCCAGAAUUCUUCCACUAAAUCCAGACUUGACAUUGCUAGUAUUUUAAAAUGAAACAUCAGCAGGACAAAUUUUGAAAACAAGCAAACUAUCAAAUACAUAGCAGGCUAAAAAGAAUGAAUCACCUCACAUCACCUCCCUCCACCCCCACCAAAAAAAAAAAAAGAUUCAAGGACACAACCAUAAAUUUUGAAAAUCCUCUGUAGUUCACCUGAAAUGUUUUAAAAGAGGGAAAAGUUUAUUUUUCAGAUCAGUAUUUAAAAUGACACACAUUAUGUUCUGAACACAACUUGAUGUAAUCAAUUAUAUCAUUACAUAUUGAAUGCUUAUAUUGCACAAGCAAAAUAAAGCCAAAGAGUAAGUGAAGAAAAAUAGAACAAACUAAGGUAGGAGUCUCAGAAGCAGUUGGUGCUGGCCUAAUUCAUCUUGUUGAAGCCAGUGAAGAUAAAAACAGUGAGGACAAAGCUGAGUGCUUCUGGAAAUCCUGCCUUAGAUACACUUUUGCCAGAAGAGUAAGAGUGGGGUUAGUACAGAAGCAUAAAUUACCAGGUCUGUGCUCUGGGUGGCAACAUUCGCUGCCUGCACCUGCAGCUGCUGUUCUCGUGCCCCCUUCUAAGUGGGCACUGGAGGCUAGUGCCCUGGUCACCCAACCCCCCUUACACCACUGGGUUAGUAACAUGAAGCCAACCAAAUCCAGGAGGAAUGGAAUGUGGCCUGUGGAAAUCAGGUCUCAGCUAUAAGUCAACAAGGGAGAGGGAAUGCAAAGAUCCAAAGGCCUUAGGAAGGAUGGACAAGUUGACAUAGCCUAAAACCCUACAGUAACAUCACCACUAUUUCUCCCACUGCUCUGCUCCCUGCAUCCCAUAAAUAAGCCUGUUUUAUAAUCAGGCAACACUUGAUAUGCAUGCAACCCACUUUUUCCUAUUGACAUAACCCCAAAUUUUCUUCCUGUCCAAAUACUUAUAACCAAAGGCAUUAAAAUGACAACUCCAAGAUAUACAGGAAAUUCAUCCCUUACAAUAGAAUCAGGGAACCAAAACUAUGACCCAGCUAGUGCAAGAGCAGGUAGCAGCGUACACAUUGACUAGAUGAGGAUGCAUGAGAAAUCAAUCAUUUAUAACUUUACACCCAAUUAAAGAGAAGGCAAACCAGUAUUCUUACUGUAUAUCAUUGUGUAGUAAUAUUCAUGCUCCACACUUCAUCUGACAUUACAGUGAUUGUUUCAUAGGAUAAAAUACUCUUUUUUUUUUUCUUUACACAUUUUUAAAAUACAAACAUCCCCUAUAAAACACUGGAACAACAAUUCCCACAACCAGCUCUUAAUACACAGAUUUAAACACCCUGGCAUUAUGAACUGAAGCCCUGGCUAAUCUAUUUGAUUCCUGUCUGUAAGCAUUUAUAAAUUUUAAAACCGGAUAAUACUAACAUUCACUGUGAGAUUACUAUCCCUGUAUUUCUCUAGAUAUGUUAUGCAAAUGACUUCCAUGAUCAUUUUUUUUUCAGUUCUUUGUAUUAAAGAACUUACUGGGAGCAUCAUACUUCAGCUGUGACCUUUGGAGAUCUAACUACCACAUCUAUAACUUUGAUCCAUCACACUUUUACCUAGGUUAGUGUGAUUUCCGCAGAAAUUAUUAUAUACUAUAAUGGAGGGAAUUGCUACUGAAGAAAAAUCAAACACUCAGCUUGUCACUGAAGAUCUGAAACAUAACGUGCUCAGUAUGUGUUUGCCCUGUUGCCAAUCUUGCCCUUCUUAGUUGUAUACAAUGGAAAGAAGUUCUGUUAGUCCUAUUGAGCUAUUCAAGUACUUCAAGUAUCAGUUAGUAUGCUAAAAUAAAAGUUGAAUACACAGGAAAAACAAUUAAAUACAGAUUUUAAAACCAUGCGACAGUUACUCUUAAACAAGCACCUACAGCUCUUAUUAAUAUUGAUGGGGAUCUGUGCCUGCUCAACUUAACCAAAGCUCUGUACAAAGCUCUCUUUUCCUCCUGACUCAGCACCAAGGAGCAGAGGAACCUCAUAUUAUUGGUACUGUUAAAAAAUAUGGGUCCUACUGCUUUUCAUACCUGUACUCUUCUCUGGGUAAAAGUAGCUACUCCUAAAAUCUCUCAGAAUCAUUGAAAGGAUUAAUUUAUUAAUGUUCAAAAACACCUUAAAAUUGGUGGUGGAAAAGCACUACAGCAAUGCAAAGUAUUUAAUACAGAACUAAAAUAUUGUACUAUCAUCUCGUGAUUUCUUAAGAGGUCUGAAUAAAAAGGUAUUUAUUAUAUUUAAA